GCUGAGCCAGGUAGCGUGGGCUUGUAACCCGGGCGGGGGCAAUGAGUGAUGGAACUUUGGUUAAGCCCGAAGGCUGGUCACCAGUAGCAAUAAUCCACUGGCUCGCCCAUUCCAAGCGGAGAGUUGGCCCAUGGCACUUCUCCGAAGGUGGAGGUGUCGUGGACCCUAAAGUGAAGGGCAUCGCAUGAGGCUGUUUUCACAGAGCAGUGAAAACCUUCCUCUCUCUACAGUGGAAGGAUAGCGGAGAGUUGGCCCAUGCACUUCUCCGAAGGUGGAGGUGUCGUGGACCCUAAAGUGA
rnacentral:SRP_RNA from 1 species